AGGCGGUGUGAGCGGCGAGCUUAGGCUUGUUGCUCUCACCAUCAGACUCGCGAUCAAGCGCUCAUCUUGGCUUCUGAUCGCGAAUGGACAUUUUAUUUUUCCCUAACUUAAAAUCUGAAUAAGGGGCUUAAGCUUUUUUCGGAUUUAUUUUCUUUUUUUUGUAAGUAUUACUGUAGUUUUAUAUUACUGUCGUAAAUCAGGGUUUUUGUUUAUCGUGAACCACAAUUCCAUUGUGUUCCGGGCUAAUCUAUGUACUGUUUAUUGCUCAUUUUAAAUAUCUGCUUGACUGCUAGUCUGCUUCCGUACCUUUGCUUUAUUCAUGUACUCAGUUGUAGUGUUGUACUGUGUUCGGAUAUGUGGCGACUUUAAACUGGCGAACCCCGAGGAAACAUCACAUUUGCUGUAACGGUAACUCGCCGUCCCGUUUAUCUAUCUACCUUCUUGAGUAAAUUUUGAAAGGGUGUCGAAAAGGGAUCCAUCAUCCGGAUUCAUCCCUCCUUUGUCACGGGCUUUGUGACUUCUGAUUUGUUGGCUCACUUGACUGUUAAUUACUUUCUGUCAAUAUCAAAAUGUCAUAAAUAAUAGAUUUGUCGCAGUUAAGAUACGACCGUUGCAAACGUAAAUACACUACUAGUGUCUCAGUUUAAUGAUGUUAAUAAAUUAAAGCAUAUGACAGCAUGAGUAGGCCUGAAUUUGGAAAUGUUUUUUUGCCAACAGUAUAAAUUUGGUUUGAUUUUUAGAACUCGAAAGGAAAGGGUCGGGAAGCACUUUUUUGCGCCAUGGACAACUUUGUCUUCUACGCGGUGCUUGUUGUGAUCGCAGUCGCAGCCGGUAUUCGUCGGCAUCUGGUUUCCCGCCUCGCGAAAUACUUCUGGACAGUCAGAAUCGGAGCAAUAUGACAACGCAGCGGAGCAAUAUGACAACGCAGCGGCAACUGUUGCUCCUCCGGCUUACAGUGAGAUUGCUCCACAAUCCGCUGCCGUUGUGAACAACGAAGGAAAUCAGGGACCUAAGGAGGAGGAGCCUCCUUCGUACAGCGAUGUCUUGGCGGAACAGAGUGUACAGCGACACUCUGAUUCAUAGUAACCUCUUUGGCGUGUUCCUGGUGAUUGUACAUUUUCUGCGUUGGUUGUCGCACUGCAUGCACCAGUGAUCGGGUAAAUUUGUUGCGGGCGACAUUUUGCUCACAAGUCACAAUCAGUGUUCCAAGUGCCUUACUACUUUUGGGGCUUUUAUCUGUUUUAUCGUUAUUUUUGUGUUUCUCAAUCGGUCUUGGGAUGCUAUUGUGAUCAAUUUUCGUUUCAUUCCUGCAAAGAUAUUUGCAGGAAAGGUUUGCGUUAUUUGUGCGCUUUCUCGCGUUGAAGAUGAACUGGUUUUAAGCGGU